UACGUAGGUGGCAAGCGUUGUCCGGAAUUAUUGGGCGUAAAGCGCGCACAGGCGGUCCUUUAAGUCUGAUGUGAAAGCCCACGGCUCAACCGUGGAGGGUCAUUGGAAACUGGGGGACUUGAGUACAGAAGAGAAGAGUGGAAUUCCACGUGUAGCGGUGAAAUGCGUAGAGAUGUGGAGGAACACCAGUGGCGAAGGCGACUCUUUGGUCUGUAACUGACGCUGAGGCGCGAAAGCGUGGGGAGCAAACAGG
rnacentral:rRNA from 1 species